rnacentral:rRNA from 1 species
CACAUGAUCAACUUACCCUAUAGAGAAAAAUGGCCUCGGGAAACUGAGGAUAAUGUUUCAUAGUUGAAUAGGCUUGGAAAAGUUAUUCAAUAAAAGGGAUAAAAAAAAUGGUUUUUAUCUGCUAUAGGAUAGGAUCGUGGACGAUUAUGGUUGUUGGUGAGGUAACGGCUCACCAAGCCGAUAAUCGAUAGGGGCCGUGAGAGCGGGAGCCCCGAGAUGGGUACUGAGACAACGACCCAGGCCUUACGAGGCGCAGCAGGCGCGGAACCUCCGCAGUACACGAAAGUGUGACGGGGUUACCCAAAGUGUUCAGUUUUGAACUGUGGUAGGUGAGUAAUGUCCCCUACUAGAAGGGAGAGGGCAA